rnacentral:rRNA from 1 species
UACGUAGGGACCAAGCGUUGUUCGGAUUUACUGGGCGUAAAGGGCGCGUAGGCGGCGUGGUAAGUCAGUUGUGAAAUCUCCGAGCUUAACUCGGAACGGCCAACUGAUACUGCUGUGCUAGAGUGCAGAAGGGGCAAUCAGAAUUCUUGGUGUAGCGGUGAAAUGCGUAGAUAUCAAGAGGAAUACCAGAGGUGAAGACGGGUUGCUAGGCUGACACUGACGCUGAGGCGCGAAAGCCAGGGGGAGCAAACGGG